rnacentral:misc_RNA from 1 species
GUAGGUGAACCUGCGGAAGGAUCAUUAGAAAGUUCGACGCUCCGGCGUCCCACCUUCAAACCACUGUGAAACCACCCGUUGCUUCGGCGGCAUCGGUGCCCUUCGUCGGGUGCCGUGUCGGUCCGCCUGAGGCUCCGAACCAAACCAUUUUCCGUAACCGUAGUCUGAUAAACCAAAGAUUUAAUUCGUUAAAACUUUCAACAACGGAUCUCUUGGUUCUC